UUAAGUGGAGAAUACCUUCUGUCCGGAGCUGGCAGAAAAGGACUUAUUUACGCCACCAACCAGAAACUGCCACGCCAGAAAUUUAAUGAGGAAGCAGUACACUCUGUCACACAGGAUUAUAACUCAAUUAAAACUAAAAUCAUCAAACACGUAUCAGAUCAGAAGCCCUUACCUGGAGAAACAGCACCAACGCCUAACCCAUUCCAUCUCCUCCUCUCCUCUGACCACCGGAGCUCUACCCCACCGCUGGAGUCGCCACGGCGUCGUUCUGAGCCGGCGCCCACCCAACCUCAAGGUUUCAGUAAUUGAUAUAGAAGGACCCACUCUAUUAUAUCAAAACCACAUUGCAAGUGAAAUUUGUACUUGUGUCAUCUCUCUUUUCAAUUCCAAACCUGCAUUUUACAUGGUUUUGAGAGGAAUGUUUUAGUGGUUGAGACAGAAUUUGUUGAAGUUCUAGCAUUCAGGUUAGAAAGUCAAUGUGUUCCAUCUUUUUGUAAAACAGGUGUCUUUUCGACAAGUUUUCUUACUGUGUUUGUUGAAUUCUCCAUCGUCAACCUAGGCCUCUGGGACACAGCUGGUAUCAUUUAUUUGAUAGCUAUUGUAAUAUUUUUAGCUUCAAAUAUAAUUUUAUACUACUUGUAAUUACAAUUUUCUCCUACUUGUAAUGUCAAUUUGCUCUCUAUAUGUAGCAGAGUGCAAUUAAAGAUAUAGUUGGAGCUGUUUUAUGUAGAGUUUAUUGAGUUGCUGAGCAGGGUGGUCAAAUGUACCAUGCCUUUGUUGUGCUUAUGUGGAAUUAAUUUGAACUUCUAAAAAUUCAAAUUGGUUGUUUGGUUUUGUAUUAAGUGGUUGGAUUUGCUCUUUACUUGUAUCCUAAAACAAGUUUGUAAUUAAACAAGUUUGCCAAAUUGGGCAAGUUUGGUAUUGUAAUAGCACAAAAUUUGAAUUUAUUCUCAA